rnacentral:rRNA from 1 species
CCUACGGGUGGCAGCAGUGGGGAAUAUUGGGCAAUGGACGCAAGUCUGACCCAGCAACGCCGCGUGAAGGAAGAAGGCUUUCGGGUUGUAAACUUCUUUUAAGGGGGAAGAGCAGAAGACGGUACCCCUUGAAUAAGCCACGGCUAACUACGUGCCAGCCGCCGCGGUAAUACGUAGGGGGCGGGCGUUGUCCGGAUUUACUGGGGGUAAAGGGAGUGCAGCGGGUGAGACAAGUCAGAUGGGAAAUCCAUGGGCUCAACCCGUGAUCGGCGUUUGAAACUGUUGCCCUUGAGUGUCGGAGAGGUAUGCGGAAUGCGUGGUGUAGCGGUGAAAUGCGUAGAUAUAAGGAAGAACACCAGUGGCGAAGGCGGAAUACUGGACGAUAACUGACGGUGAGGCGCGAAAGCGUGGGGAGCGAACAGGAUUAGAUACCCGGGUAGUC